AUUUCCCUUUCUUGGCCAUUUCAUGGGAUGAUCUAAAGCUUUGGCUUCCUUUUCCCUAAUAUGGUUCUUUCUCAGCAAGAUGUGAUACCUCAGCCAAAGUUAAUUGUGUGAUGCUGGUUGUCUAGACACAGGCUGCCUCUCCCUCUCCCCACCUGCUGUUGAUUGUUCUGUCCACUAAAUAAGCAUUUUAUUUAUGGGGGGGGAGGCACAAGCAACAUUAAAAGCUCCGUGGCAGUCUUCAGUUUGGGGAUGGUCCUCUCAUUCAGCCAGGUCUUGACUCUGUCUGGUAAAGUCCAGUGUGUGUCUUUUGUCCCAUGACUGGCGAAAACAGCCUACAAUAUAAGAGCAUGCAGCUACUGAACAGGAGCUUUGAGCUUUCAGUUGGCAUCUAUAUCAAAGUCAACAUGUUCAUUCUCCAAACCUGUGCAGAAGGAAUGAGAUGAUGACAGUGGUGAGCUGUAACAGUUGUAGUAAGGCAUGCAACAACUCACUGGCACACCUUAGUUGGUCCAAAAUGGCGUCCUCCCUGGCGGAUGUGUUUGGUACAUGUGAAGUCACACUGUGGGGUGGCACAUCUCUAGUUCUGAGGAAGAAAAGGAAAAGUGUCCCAAAGACAAACAGUAUUACAUUUGAGGUCCAAGAUCAUAACGGAGGUGGAAGAUUCUGAGCACAUUCCACAAGUUUCCAACUACUUUUGAUGCUUGGUUAUACCAGUCUAAUUACAGCUAUUAUUUAAAGUGGUACACGACACCCCAGCCUG